UACGUAGGGUGCAAGCGUUGUCCGGAAUUAUUGGGCGUAAAGAGCUCGUAGGCGGUCUGUCGCGUCGGAUGUGAAAAUCCAGGGCUUAACCCUGGACCUGCAUUCGAUACGGGCAGACUAGAGUUCGGCAGGGGAGACUGGAAUUCCUGGUGUAGCGGUGAAAUGCGCAGAUAUCAGGAGGAACACCGGUGGCGAAGGCGGGUCUCUGGGCCGAUACUGACGCUGAGGAGCGAAAGCGUGGGGAGCGAACAGG
rnacentral:rRNA from 1 species